CCCUUAGAUGUUCUGGGCUGCACACGCGAUACACUGAAGCUAUCAACACGUUUUCCCUCCCUGAGAAGGGCGGGUAACCUUUUGAAUCAGCUUCGUGGUAGGGAUCGGGGCUUGCAAUUGUUCCCCGUGAACCAGGAAUUCCUAGUAGACGCGAGUCAUAAGCUCGCAUCGAUUAAGUCCCUGCCCUUUGUACACACCGCCCGUCGCUACUACCGAUUGAACGUUUUAGUGAGGCAUUUGGACCGACGCAUCUCAGUUUAACCGCUGGUUUGUGUUGGAAAGACUUCCAAACUUGAGCGUUUAGAGGAAGUAAAAGUCGUAACA
rnacentral:rRNA from 1 species